AAGCUGAAAGGAAUGGAGACAGAAAGAGAAAUCACCAGUCAGUCUGGGCGGGGGUAGGGCUGAAGCUCAAGACAUUUUACCAGUGUCACUGGCACAGUCCAAGAUGUCAAGGCUUGAAGACUUCUCUCAAAACCAACGUUUUCAACAGAAGGUUCCCAUUAGGCUCAGGGCUGGACAGCCUGUAUUCUGAGGACUCAGUCCUGUGUCAGCUCCCAUACUCCCCCCACUUCCAGCCAAUCUACUUCGAGCAUGUUUCUGCCCAAUGUGCCACACCACUAGUUUACAUUUUCUCUGCCAAGUACUCCCACCUACCAUUCACUCUACCCAAUUGCAAUUAGUCUGGAAGCCCCAAAGCUAGCUGUUUUUAGCUGGGGCCCAUUUGCACCAAAGGCCUUUACCAAAGCAUCACAGAAAGAGUAUGGCCAUGAGGCCCGGAGAAGUUACCUGGAGGAGAGAGGCAACAGGAAAAGAGAGAAGAGAACAAGGGCACAAGGCCACAUGAACAAGCAAAACAGGUUUUACAUGUGUUCCUCCUCUCUGACCUCUGUUGCGGCAGCUGACUGGAUGCUUUGGGAGGGUAGAGAGAAGAGAUGAAUGGGAAAGUAUGGAGGAAGGGCCUAGGAAGAAAUAAUCCAUUCAGGCAGAACUGCUCCAGUGCCUUGGUCCAGCUGAUCUCCUUCAACAAGUCUACUGAACAGUAUAACCAUCUAGGAAUAGGAUUCUGGAGUCUACUGGAGAAAUGACCACCUUCUCUUCCUGCCCGUUUGAAUGAUACACAGGACGGCCAACAGAACUGUAGAUGGUUGAGAAACUGCCACAGGAAAAGGAGAAAGGCUGUGUUACAAAUGGAAUAGCCCAAGAUGAAAACAAUAAGACUGCUUCAAGUUGCCAAUCCGACAAAUCUCCAUUAAUAUUGGAUAGCCACGGAGGAAGAUUCCUACAGCAUCACAUCAUCCCGUGUCUUCAGUACACAUAAGACACCAGAGAAGAUACGCGUAACUCUGCUCCCAAAAGCUUAGUAAAAACUUGAUUAAACUGGCACAAAUGAGACAGAGUAGAUUAUGAGUUCUAAACUUGGGACAUGGCUCUGUCUCCAGUAGGCAAUGGGCCUACUCUAAGUUUUAGGUUUGGGGCCAGAGGGAAAAGAUCCGUGGGGCAAGGAAGGAAUAUCUAGAGAUGUUCCCAUCCCCAUGGCUUCAGGCUUUUAGGAGAAAGAUUCAGAUCAGAAAGCCUUAAACUGUGUACCUUCACCUGAUGGUCUAUAUAUAUAUAAGAGGUUCAAAUUUUAAGAAACGUUUACAAAUCUCUACUAUUUACCAAGCCCUGCCCUAGCCAUGCUAUAGUAGCUCAACACACUCACAAUUCUGUGACCUCCUUUUUCCCCCAAGACUUCAUACAACUCUGAAGUCACAUAGACCCUGUGGGAUCAUGGUAACACACAUCAGACGUGUGACCCUGGGCCCGUCAGUUGAACUCUUGGAACCUCAGCUUUCCACAACAGAUGGUUACAAGAAUUAAAUGAAAGACCGUAUUCAUAGAAAAAGCUUACCAUUGGGCCUGACCUAUAAUAGAUACUUAAUAAAUACAAGUUCAUUCCUUCCCUCCCAUUCCAGAUCCAGUGCUCUUGAGAAGGUUACAGUCAGGUGAUGAUAACUGGGGCAGUCUGGCUGCCCUGAAUAAAUAAGAGCGUAUCUUUCUAGCUUGAGUCCACUCUAAGUGGUCAGAACCUGAGUAACACUAAAUAUAUACCUGUUGACUGACUGGCUCAUAUUGGGUGUUGUGGAAGGAGGACAUAGCACUGGGAGCCCAGAGGCCUGGGUGGGAGCUCUAGCUCAUACCCUAGCUUGUUGAAUGGUCUUGACCUCUCUGGGCCUCAGUUUUCUCAUCUGUAAAACAAGGGGAAUAAAUCAGACAUUCUGAUUCUA